AUAUUCUUGUUCAAGAUCAUUAACCUUUAAGUUAAAUGAAUUAAUUAGUAGAAUAUA
rnacentral:tRNA from 1 species